rnacentral:rRNA from 1 species
CACUUCUAAGGAAGGCAGCAGGCGCGCAAAUUACCCAAUCCUGACUCAGGGAGGUAGUGACAAGAAAUAACAAUAAACCGGCUUAUGCCGGUUUAAUUGGAAUGAGUACAAUUUAAACAUCUUAACGAGGAACAAUUGGAGGGCAAGUCUGGUGCCAGCAGCCGCGGUAAUUCCAGCUCCAAUAGCGUAUACUAAAGUUGUUGCAGUUAAAAAGCUCGUAGUUGGAUUUCUGUGGGGACGGAGCGGCCGGCCGCAACGCGCGGUUCGAGCUAGCGCUUUCCCUACAUCCUGCCGCGAACCGUGCUACCAUUAAUUUGGUGGCGCCGGGGAUCGGCUCGAUUACUUUGAGAAAAAUAGAGUGUUCAAAGCAGGCCACAUGCCUUGAAUAAGUUAGCAUGGAAUAAUAACUAAGGACUUCGGUUCUAUUUUGUUGGUGUUCGGGACUGAAGUAAUGAUUGAUAGGGACAGUUGGGGCGGUCUGUAUUCCAAAGCGAGAGGUGAAAUUCUUAGACCUUCGGAAGACAAACAGCUGCGAAAGCGUUCCGCAAGGAUGUUCCCUUUGAUCAAGAACGAAAGUUGGGGGAUCGAAGACGAUCAGAUACCGUCGUAGUCUCAACUAUAAACUAUACCAGCUAGGGAUCGGCCAACGUUAUUUCAUACCGACUCGGUCGGCACCUUAUGAGAAAUCAAAGCAUCUGGGUUCCGGGGGGAGUGUGGUCGCAAGGCUGAAACUUAAAGGAAUUGACGGAAGGGCACCACCAGCCGUGGAGCCUGUGGCUUAAUUUGACUCAACACGGGAAAACUUACCAGGUCCAGACAUAGUAAGGAUUGACAGAUUGAUAGCUCUUUCUUGAUUCUGUGGGUGGUGGUGCAUGGCCGUUCUUAGUUGGUGGAGUGAUUUGUCUGGUUAAUUCCGUUAACGAACGAGACCCCAGCCUGCUAAAUAGCGCGCGUGAGCUUUGCUCGCGGCGAGCUUCUUAGAGGGACUCUGAUGCGCGAUAGCACAUGGAAGUUUGGGGCAAUAACAGGUCUGUGAUGCCCUUAGAUGUUCUGGGCCGCACACGGGCUACACUGGCGCCUGCAACGAGCAUAUCAGCUGGCCCGAGAGGGUCUUGGCUAAUCUUUUGAACCGGCGCCGUGCUUGGGAUUGACCUUUGCAAUUGUCGGUCAUGCAACGAGGAAUGCCUUGUAAACGCGAGUCAUCAGCUCGCAUUGAAUACGUCCCUGCCCUUUGUACACACCGCCCGUCGCUCCUACCGAUGAAUGUUCCGAUGAAAUUUUCGGAGAGCACCUGUGAACUUGGCUCCGCCUUGCGGACGGGAGGCUCAAAGUCACUUAAAUCUGAACAUUUCGAGG